AUGAACGCUGGCGGCGUGCCUAAUACAUGCAAGUCGAGCGAACAGACGAGGAGCUUGCUCCUCUCACGUUAGCGGCGGACGGGUGAGUAACACGUGGAUAACCUACCUAUAAGACUGGGAUAACUUCGGGAAACCGGAGCUAAUACCGGAUAAUAUAUUGAACCGCAUGGUUCAAUAGUGAAAGACGGUUUUGCUGUCACUUAUAGAUGGAUCCGCGCCGCAUUAGCUAGUUGGUAAGGUAACGGCUUACCAAGGCAACGAUGCGUAGCCGACCUGAGAGGGUGAUCGGCCACACUGGAACUGAGACACGGUCCAGACUCCUACGGGAGGCAGCAGUAGGGAAUCUUCCGCAAUGGGCGAAAGCCUGACGGAGCAACGCCGCGUGAGUGAUGAAGGUCUUCGGAUCGUAAAACUCUGUUAUUAGGGAAGAACAAAUGUGUAAGUAACUAUGCACGUCUUGACGGUACCUAAUCAGAAAGCCACGGCUAACUACGUG
rnacentral:rRNA from 1 species